rnacentral:rRNA from 1 species
AUAGCUGAUUGCACCAACAAAUGGUUGAUGCAAUAUUGACUCUGUCAAAUAAAAUUCUAGGUAGAAUUAUGAUAAUGACAUUGUCUGCCUAUAUGUCUUGACCAAAUUACGUGCCAGCAGUCGCGGUAAUACGUAGAAGACUAGUGUUAUUCAUCUUUAAUAGGUUUAAAGGGUACCUAGACGGUAAAUCAAGCCUUCACAGGGACUAAUUUACUAGAGUUACUUACGAGGGGGUAUUAAAGUACUGCAGGUGUAGAGAUGAAAUUCUGUCAUACCUCUUUUCAAAAGAAAAAUUAUGGCACAGGUAUAGGUGAAAGCAUCCCCUUAUGUGAUAACUGACGUUGAAGGACGAAGGCUUUGUGUCGCGAACAGGAUUAGAUACCCCAGUAGUCAAAGCAGAAAAUGAUGAAUGUCAUAGAUUAGAUAUAUAGUUUAUUCUAUAAAUGAAAAUGUAAGCAUUCCACCUCAAGAGUAAUUUGGCAACAUUGGAACUGAAAUCAUUAGACCGUUUCUGAAACCAGUAGUGAAGUAUGUUGUUUAAUUUGAUGAUCCGCAAAAAACCUUACCACAAUUUGAAUAUUUGUAUCUAUCUUUUUUUUCGUAAAAAAAUAAAAAGGUAAUAUAUUUACAAGCGUUGCACGGCUGUCUUCAGUUAAUGUCGCGAGACUUUGGUUAGUUCCAUUUAAUUAACGUAAACCCUUACUUUAUUUUUAUAUGAAGUAGUUCCCCGCUAUAUUGGAUAUGAUAACAGGGACUAGGACAAG